AUACGUAGGGUGCAAGCGUUAAUCGGAAUUACUGGGCGUAAAGCGUGCGCAGGCGGUUAUGUAAGACAGGUGUGAAAUCCCAGGGCUUAACCUUGGAACUGCAUUUGUGACUGCAUAGCUAGAGUACGGUAGAGGGGGGUGGAAUUCCGCGUGUAGCAGUGAAAUGCGUAGAUAUGCGGAGGAACACCGAUGGCGAAGGCAAUCCCCUGGACCUGUACUGACGCUCAUGCACGAAAGCGUGGGGAGCAAACAGGA
rnacentral:rRNA from 1 species